rnacentral:rRNA from 1 species
UACCAGCACCCCGAGUGGUCGGGACGAUUAUUGGGCCUAAGGCAUCCGUAGCCGGUUCUACAAGUCUUCCGUUAAAUCCACCUGCUUAACAGAUGGGCUGCGGAGGAUACUAUGGAGCUAGGAGGCGGGAGAGGCAAGCGGUACUUAGUGGGUAGGGGUAAAAUCCGUUGAUCCAUUGAAGACCACCAGUGGCGAAGGCGGCUUGCCAGAACGCACUCGACGGUGAGGGAUGAAAGCUGGGGGAGCAAACCGG